UACGAAGGGGGCUAGCGUUGCUCGGAAUCACUGGGCGUAAAGGGUGCGUAGGCGGGUCUUUAAGUCAGGGGUGAAAUCCUGGAGCUCAACUCCAGAACUGCCUUUGAUACUGAGGAUCUUGAGUUCGGGAGAGGUGAGUGGAACUGCGAGUGUAGAGGUGAAAUUCGUAGAUAUUCGCAAGAACACCGGUGGCGAAGGCGGCACUCUGGGCCGGUACUGACGCUGAGGAGCGAAAGCGUGGGGAGCGAACAGG
rnacentral:rRNA from 1 species